rnacentral:rRNA from 1 species
AUGGAAGAUGGCGAGAACCUAAGCUGCUCCCUCCAGCGUGCCCCCUCCAUGGCUCGUCGUCGCCCUGUGACCACAUCCAGCCCCAGUUCAACAAUGUCUAUUGGGAUGUCAUCUCUCAUGGCAAGUUUCUCUUCUUCGGUAGUUUCCCCUCAAAGGCUGUGCUUACCUGAAGAAACCAGAGGAUAUAAACCCGAGGAUAUAAAUGAGAGCACAUACAUACGUGUGGUGGACACUAUCCUGCGGCAUGAUGCUCCUGCUUCCGUGCUGUUUGCCAUGGAUUUAACAUAUUUGUCUUGUUGGGACUCCGAGCAGCUGUUGCAGAAGGACUUCAACCUCCUUAAUCCGCUGGCUGAGCUAGAGAAGCAAUCACAAGAAGAAGCAUCUCGUGCAGUCCAUCAACUCAUCAUGUACGUGCGCAUCAGAUCAUGUACGGACAUACAAUAG